ensembl:lncRNA
GCUCUCCUGCAAGUGUAACCAAGAGUGGGGUCCAGCAGCUUGCUGCUCAAAAGCCAAUAAAAAGACAACAUUGGUGGAAAAGAAAGUUUGCUUUAUUUUGAAUGCUGGUAACCGGGGCAGGGAGGGGGAGGGUGGACGUCUCUCCAAAGGCCGGCUGUGUCCUGAGCUCAGCAAUCACAUGGGGAGAACUUUUACAGACAGAAGGAGGGGCUACAUACAGACACAGCAUGGUCAGCCCUGGGAGUCACCUUGGUAGUCUGACCAGCAUCAUCUUGAUUGUUUUAAGUACAGUUAGCCUUCACUUCCAGGGCUGAUUUGUUCCCGUCUCCUUGAAGUCAGUUCUCAGAAUGUGGCAGCUUGUAUCAUGGCCACAGUCUGGUCAUCAUGUAAUUUCUUCCACCUGGUGGAGGUUUCAGUCUCUACAAGACAGCUCACAAGAAAUUAAAGAUGAAAGAGUGAGCAAUGAGUUGAGGAUUCUCUGAGAAGUAAAGCUUAAAGUCUUCUUCCCGUCACCCUGCACUUUGCAUACUGCCACAGCCACAGUGAAAUCCGGCUCUGAACCCACCGAGGAGCAUGUAGAUGGCGCUACCACAUUGGAGCGGAUCAGAGUACAUCAUGAGAAAUGCUGGACUGGAAGAAACACAAGCUGGAAUCAAGAUUGCCAGGACAAAUAUCAAUAACCUCAGAUAUGCAGAUGACACCACCCUUAUGGCAGAAAGUGAAGAGGAACUAAAAAGCCUCUUGAUGAAAGUGAAAGAGC